AUGGAUGGUGUGCUAUCACUCCAUGAGAUCCUUAACUAUACACAUGUCAAGAAAAAAGCGGGGAUUGUCCUUAAACUUGACUUCGAAAAAGCCUAUGACAAAGUAAACUGGGACUUCCUUCUUGAAUGUCAUAAAAUGCGUGGUUUUAAUGAAACCUGGUAUGGAUGGAUUAAACAAAUACUAUACGAGGGGACAGUUAGCAUCAAGUUGAAUAACUGUACGGGGCCGUACUUUCAAAGUGCUAAAGGGGUCUGCCAAGGCGACCCCCACUCUCCUUUCCUGUUCAACUUGGCUGUGGAAUGCCUCACCAAAAUGAUUAAAAACGCCUAA
rnacentral:rRNA from 1 species